CCCUUAGAUGUUCUGGGCCGCACGCGCGCUACACUGAUGAGCGCAACGAGACCACCUGUACCGAAAGGCAUGGGUAAACUUGUGAAAGUUCAUCGUGAUGGGGAUAGAUUAUUGCAAUUAUUAAUCUUCAACGAGGAAUUCCUAGUAAGCGCGAGUCAUCAGCUCGCGUUGAUUACGUCCCUGCCCUUUGUACACACCGCCCGUCGCUCCUACCGAUUGAAUGGUCCGGUGAAAUCUUCGGAUUGCUGGAUAGGACUUCAUUGACCUAUCUGCGAGAAGUUGCUUGAACCUUNUNAUUUAGNGGAAGGAGAANUCGUANCA
rnacentral:rRNA from 1 species